GGAGGUGUGGCUCAAGUAGUAGAGCACCUGUCUAGCAAGCACAUGGCCACAAGUUCAAAUCCUAGCACUUUCC
rnacentral:tRNA from 1 species